GACGAACGCUGGCGGCGUGCUUAACACAUGCAAGUCGAACGAUGAAGCCGGAGCUUGCUCUGGCGAAUUAGUGGCGAACGGGUGAGUAACACGUGAGUAACCUGCCCCGAACUCUGGGAUAACUGCUGGAAACGGUAGCUAAUACUGGAUACGACCUACGAAGGCAUCUUCUGUAGGUGGAAAGAAUUUCGGUUCGGGAUGGACUCGCGGCCUAUCAGCUUGUUGGUGAGGUAAUGGCUCACCAAGGCGACGACGGGUAGCCGGCCUGGGAGGGUGACCGGCCACACUGGGACUGAGACACGGCCCAGACUCCUACGGGAGGCAGCAGUGGGGAAUAUUGCACAAUGGGCGCAAGCCUGAUGCAGCAACGCCGCGUGAGGGAUGACGGCCUUCGGGUUGUAAACCUCUUUUAGUAGGGAAGAAGCGAAAGUGACGGUACCUGCAGAAAAAGCACCGGCUAACUACGUGCCAGCAGCCGCCGUAA
rnacentral:rRNA from 1 species